CAGUCGCCGCGGUAAUACGAAGGGUGCAAGCGUUAAUCGGAAUUACUGGGCGUAAAGCGCGCGUAGGCGGUUUGUUAAGUCUGUUGUGAAAUCCCCGGGCUCAACCUGGGAAUGGCAAUGGAUACUGGCAAGCUAGAGUGUGUCAGAGGAUGGUGGAAUUCCCGGUGUAGCGGUGAAAUACGUAGAGAUCGGGAGGAACAUCAGUGGCGAAGGCGGCCAUCUGGGACAACACUGACGCUGAGGCACGAGAGCGUGGGGAGCAAACAGGAUUAGAUACCCCGGUAGUCCCUGUCUCUUAUAC
rnacentral:rRNA from 1 species